CGGGGUGAGUAAUGCUUGGGGAUCUAGCUUAUGGAGGGGGAUAACUACGGGAAACUGUAGCUAAUACCGCGUAGUAUCGGAAGAUGAAAGUGUGGGACCUUCGGGCCACAUGCCAUAGGAUGAGCCCAAGUGGGAUUAGGUAGUUGGUGAGGUAAAGGCUCACCAAGCCGACGAUCUCUAGCUGGUCUGAGAGGAUGACCAGCCACACUGGGACUGAGACACGGCCCAG
rnacentral:rRNA from 1 species